AAAAUUUUCUCUGCCCAAUGAAAUUUAAAUGGCUGCAGUAUAUUGACUGUACAAAGGUAGCAUAAUAAAUAGUUUUUUGAUUGAAGACUGGAAUGAAAGAGAGGAUGAAAUUUUAACUGUCUCUAUUUAAAUUAUAGAAAUUUAUUUUAAGUAAAAAGUCUUAAAUAAAUUUAAAAGACGAGAAGACCCUAUAGAAUUUGAAAAUUUUAGAUAUAUGUAUAUUUUAAUUUAUGAUUAUGAUAUAUUUAAUAUUUUUUAAUUGGGAGGAUUAUAAAAUUUAAUAAACUUUUAUUAUUAAAAUACAUUAAUAAAUGAAAUGAAUAAUAUACUUUAUAUAAAAAAAAUAAAAUUACCUUAGGGAUAACAGCAUAAUAAAUUUUUAAAGUUCAAAUUAAAAAAUUUGAUUGUGACCUCGAUGUUGAAUUAAAAUAAAAUUUAGGUGUAGAAGCUUAAUAUUUAA
rnacentral:rRNA from 1 species